rnacentral:rRNA from 1 species
UACGUAGGGUGCAAGCGUUGUCCGGAAUUAUUGGGCGUGAAGAGCUCGUAGGCGGUCUGUCACGUCGGCUGUGAAAACCCGGGGCUCAACCCCGGGCCUGCAGUCGAUACGGGCAGACUAGAGUGCGGUAGGGGAGACUGGAAUUCCUGGUGUAGCGGUGAAAUGCGCAGAUAUCAGGAGGAACACCGGUGGCGAAGGCGGGUCUCUGGGCCGUAACUGACGCUGAGGAGCGAAAGCGUGGGGAGCGAACAGG